GUCCCCAUUAAAGGAAUAUUUUGUAUGGUCUAAACAUAAAUGAAGUGGGGCAUCUUUAAUGAGUUUAAUAUAGGUCGCAGUUGAAAUGUGAUAAACAUAAGCUCACAAGUAUAAACUUAAAUUUGGAGUAAAACUUUCAAGUUGGAUGAAAGUUUCACCUGGAGUUACUGACAUCGAUUAGCCAUUGAAAGUUGCAAAAAUUAGUCCAUAUCUAGACUUUGCUACUGUAGACAUAAUAAUGGCCGUUUGAAUUAGCACUUCAGUGGUAUUCUUUCCUUAUGAAGCCUCUAAAGUACUGAUACUUGAUGGCUUGGACUUGUCUCUUUCUUUACUUGUGAAUUGGCUUUGGAAAAGUCACUGGUUAGUAGUUUCUGCAAGUUGCAACAUCUAAUUGGCUAAUGAAUGCAUCAAAGCUUUGCUUUUUUCAUUACCCAAUGAAUUUUCCUUAAUCUGAAAUUUGUAGCUUAUCAUCAGGAGGAGCCUCACAUGAGCUUCUGCCUUCACGUUCUGUCAACCAAAUUCACUCGUUUUCGCUUUUGAUA
rnacentral:misc_RNA from 1 species